AGUUGCUAUCCAUUAUAAACUUAUCAAGAUGGCAGGCGACAUGUGACCCAAAUUAAUAAUUCAAAAUGUCUGCCUUUACUCUUUGUAUGAUUGCGUUCUUCGUCAGUUUGAUUGUAGUUUCAGCAUAUGUUGAAAUACGUGACAUGAAUGUGAAUUGUGGUAAACCUGUUGUUAUACGAGAUUCUACUGUAAUACGUCUAGAGGAAGGUAACUCAGGAAGUAUACGUGCUGACUGUGAAGUUACUCUACAUACAGCGGAACAUUAUACACCCCUAUCUAACAGAGGAUUUAAAGUUAAUGUUAUAGAUCUUAAUCUACCUUGUGAUGUCGGCUCUGUUAACUUCUUUUAUUACGACAACCAUGAAUUACAGUCCAGCAAUGCCGUUUGUGAUGACAGAAUACCUAUAUUAAAUUUCAAAUCCCAGUAUAUGAUCAUUACACUUUAUAAAGUUGAUCCUAAUCAAUUUUAUGGUUAUUUUAAUUUUAUAGUUACCAAUACAAAUUAUGGUACGUGUAACAGUAACCAGACUGAAUGUGCUAAUGGCGGUUGUAUUGAUAAGAGUUUACUGAAAGAUGAAUAUGACAAUUGUGGCGACGGCUCGGACGAGAAUGGUGGAAUACCCACACACGAACAAAUCGAAUUGGCGGCAUCGAGUCUCCAUAUUUCUUUUUAUCAAAUAUUUGUGAUUUUGUUGACGUCAUUGUUUUAUUGUUUUUAGUUAUGUCAUCUGUUCGUUAUGUCAUCACAUUCCUACUGUAUCAUAUUCAUCAUUUCUGUCCAGCCAAAUAAACUUG